rnacentral:tRNA from 1 species
CCGGGAAAAGCUCAGCGUGGUUUGAGCACUCGAUCGAUAAUCGAGAGGCCGCUGGUUCGACCCCAGCUUCCCGGACCA